rnacentral:rRNA from 1 species
GAUGAACGCUAGCGGCAGGCUUAAUACAUGCAAGUCGAGGGGCAGCAGUUUUGUAGCAAUACAGAAGCUGGCGACCGGCAAACGGGUGCGGAACACGUACGCAACCUUCCUCUAACUGGAAGAUAGCCCACCGAAAGGUGGAUUAAUACUCCAUAGUAUAUUGAAAAGGCAUCUUUUUGAUAUUAAAGCUCCGGCGGUUAGAGAUGGGCGUGCGUCUGAUUAGGUAGUUGGCGGGGUAACGGCCCACCAAGCCUACGAUCAGUAGCUGAUGUGAGAGCAUGAUCAGCCACACGGGCACUGAGACACGGGCCCGACUCCUACGGGAGGCAGCAGUAAGGAAUAUUGGUCAAUGGACGCAAGUCUGAACCAGCCAUGCCGCGUGGAGGAUGAAGGCCCUCUGGGUUGUAAACUUCUUUUCUUUGGGACGAAACCCCUGUUUCUACGGGGACUGACGGUACCAGAGGAAUAAGCACCGGCUAACUCCGUGCCAGCCGCCGCAGUAA